AACGAACGCUGGCGGCAUGCCUAACACAUGCAAGUCGAACGAGACCUUCGGGUCUAGUGGCGCACGGGUGCGUAACGCGUGGGAAUCUGCCCUCAGGUUCGGGAUAACUCAGGGAAACUUGAGCUAAUACCGGAUGAUGUCUUCGGACCAAAGAUUUAUCGCCUAAGGAUGAGCCCGCGUCGGAUUAGCUUGUUGGUGAGGUAAAAGCUUACCAAGGCGACGAUCCGUAGCUGGUCUGAGAGGAUGAUCAGCCACACUGGGACUGAGACACGGCCCAGACUCCUACGGGGGGCAGCAGUGGGGAAUAUUGGACAAUGGCCGCAAGCCUGAUCCAGCAAUGCCGCGUGAGUGAUGAAGGCCUUAGGGUUGUAAAGCUCUUUUACCCGGGAUGAUAAUGACAGUACCGGGAGAAUAAGCUCCGGCUAACUCCGUGCCAGCAGCCGCGGUAAUACGGAGGAGCUAGCGUUGUUCGGAAUUACUGGGCGUAAAGCGCAC
rnacentral:rRNA from 1 species